rnacentral:rRNA from 1 species
GGCGGCAUUGUGUGUCGCAUGUGAAAUCCCCGGGCUCAACCCGGGAAGUGCAUGCGAAACUGCAGUGCUAGAGCAGAGGAGGGGAGAGCGGAAUUCAUGGUGUAGCGGUGAAAUGCGUUGAUAUCAUGAGGAACACCCGAGGCGAAGGCGGCUCUCUGGAAUCUUGCUGACGCUCAGGCGCGAAAGCCGGGGGAGCAAACAGGAUUAGAUACCCUGGUAGUCCCGGCCCUAAACGGUGCACACUUGGCGUGGGGGGCUUCACCCCCUCCGUGCCGGAGCUAACGUGUUAAGUGUGCCGCCUGGGGAGUACGGCCGCAAGGCUAAAACUCAAAGAAAUUGACGGGGGCCCGCACAAGCGGAGGAGCAUGUGGCUUAAUUCGAUGCAACGCGAAGAACCUUACCCGGGUUUGACAUGUAACUGCACAUCCUGUGAAAGCAGGAUUCCUUCGAGGGUGUUACACAGGUGCUGCAUGGCUGUCGUCAGUUCGUGCCGUGAGGUGUUUGGUUAAGUCCAGCAACGAACGCAACCCCUGUGUCCAAUUGCCAGCGAGUAAUGUCGGGAACUUUGGACAGACUGCCUGUUUACGCAGGAGGAAGGUGGGGACGACGUCAAGUCAGUAUGGCCCUUACAUCCGGGGCUGCACACGUGCUACAAUGGUCGGUACAAUGGGACGCUAAGCCGUAAGGUGGCGCAAAUCCCCAGAGCCGGCCCCAGUUCAGAUUGCGGUCUGCAAUUCGACCGCAUGAAGUCGGAUUCGCUAGUAACGGCGUAUCAGCUACGACGCCGUGAAUACGUUCCCGGGCCUUGUACACACCGCCCGUCACAUCAUGAAAGCCGUCUGCACCCGAAGCCGCCCGGCCAACCCGCAAGGGGGGCAGGCGUCCAAGGUGUGGGUGGUGAUUGGGAUGAAGUCGUAACAAGGUAACCGUA